rnacentral:rRNA from 1 species
AUUGAACGCUGGCGGCAGGCCUAACACAUGCAAGUCGAGCGGAUGAAGGGAGCUUGCUCCUGGAUUCAGCGGCGGACGGGUGAGUAAUGCCUAGGAAUCUGCCUGGUAGUGAGGGAUAACGUCCGGAAACGGGCGCUAAUACCGCAUACGUCCUGAGGGAGAAAGUGGGGGAUCUUCGGACCUCACGCUAUCAGAUGAGCCUAGGUCGGAUUAGCUAGUUGGUGGUGUAAAGGCCUACCAAGGCGACGAUCCGUAACUGGUCUGAGAGGAUGAUCAGUCACACUGGAACUGAGACACGGUCCAGACUCCUACGGGAGGCAGCAGUGGGGAAUAUUGGACAAUGGGCGAAAGCCUGAUCCAGCCAUGCCGCGUGUGUGAAGAAGGUCUUCGGAUUGUAAAGCACUUUAAGUUGGGAGGAAGGGCAGUAAGUUAAUACCUUGCUGUUUUGACGUUACCAACAGAAUAAGCACCGGCUAACUUCGUG